UCCUGAAUAUGUUCCAUCUGUCUGUUCUUCCUGCCUUGGUUCAUGACAUUCUAACCUUUUGGAGCUCUGUUUCCUUCUUUCCUUCUGGCCUGAAGUCAACCACCUUUGAAAGUCUGGCUCCAGAUCUUUCCAUUUCAGAAAGCCUUGGGGAAACUGAGGCCUGAGAGCAGAUUACAGUACAGUGGUAGAGUGCAGGGAGGGAGGAGAUGGACCCAGAUUUCCCAACUGAUUGUUCAUUCAUUCAACAGGUAUUUAUUGAAGACUAGCACAGUGUGAGGUGUGGAACCCAGCUCUAUCCUAUUCUAGCAAGUUCUUAAAGGUUGGCAAGCCUGGUGGCAUUGUGCUUAACUUGGAUGGGCUUUGUCAUACCAGCAGAACCAUGUCAGUUUUCCUGAGAGAUUGGAAAAACAGGAGGAGGCACAUUGAUGACAUUUUGAUUGCAGGCCCUGCUUGGAAAGGCAAAAGGCAUUGGAGAAUGCUGAACCAAGUUGAAAAAGACCCCUGCCACCUCAAUCUGCAUUCUUUUUUUUUUUUUUUUUAAGUAAGUGGUAAAACUUUCCAGGAGUUGUUUGCAGAAAUUGUUACAUGUUUCAGUGGUAGCUAAUAAACUUACU
rnacentral:lncRNA from 12 species